GUGCUCCAAACUCAGACCUGCCAAGGCCCAGCGCUGGGAGUGCAGCCAGAGUCUGGGAUCACAUCAUCUCAGCAGGGACCCUUAGAGAGGACUAAGCCCUUCCUGGGACCAUUCAUCCGUUUGUUCUGUAAGUAUGUGUUGAGCACUCUCUCUGUUCCAGGCCCAUGGAGAGACCCAGGAGGAUCUCAGAGUUCUCACUCAAGUGGCGGACACUUUGAGGCACAAUUGCACACAGCAUGGGCUGCCCCUCUGCCUCCUGAGACCGAGGGAACUUCUGGACCCCACACACCACAGCACCCUCUACACAGUUCACCCACAGAGGAUGCCCCGUAGAAGAGGGGAAUGGGAUGGUUCGAAUUCAUCCUCAAGCUGUCUGAGAUCAAGGGGAGAACUGUGGGUGGAAGGAAGAGUGACAGCAGGGGGAGGAGCAGAGAAGAGUCCUUGACUGGAGUCCCAAGACACGGAUCCUGCACCCAACUUUGUCACCAGCUCUGGCCUCGGUUUCCCCAUUGUAAAAUGGAUGGGCUGUCCUGAUGUCUCUUUUGACCCUGGUCUUCCAGCUCUCAUGUUCUCUGCUGCUGUCAGGGCCUCCCCUGAGGAGAGAGGGAUUCGGUGGCUAUGGAUAAAAUGAGAGUCACUGUGGCCAGGAUUCUCACCUGGCCGUGGUUGACUAGUUCACUGCACACCUGUGGGCAAUGCAUGGCUGUUGAUUCUAUAAAAAAAGCUCUGCCCAGUGCUCUGGGCAACAUGGUGGCAGGUCUGCAAGGCUGCAGGAGGGCAGAGCAGAGGCUGGAGUGGUGGCAGCGCCAAGGACAGAGGCCCAGAGGACGGCUGUGCAGACAGAGGGGCCCAGAGGCAGAGACCGGCUUGCUGCAUGUAGACUCGUUCUGAGUGAACAGGAUUUUAGUGACUGACCUGCCACCUGGA